rnacentral:sRNA from 1 species
GGGACUGGGCUGGGCCUGCGGUGAGCAUCCGGCGAUGCGGCACGGGUGCUGCGGGACACACAGACACGCCUACGAUUAGACCCAGGCAGUCACCUACCGGCGAGCGGCCGCGGGUGACUCCCAGACGCGGCGGUACCUCACGGUGGUGAAGGUCACAGCCCAGGCCUUGGACUGCCACGUGUGUGCCUACAACGGAGACAACUGCUUCAACCCCAUGCGCUGCCCGGCUA